GUCUGCGGCGUCGCGCGGCCCCCCGUGCGCUCCGCGAGCCCCUGCGCCAGGCGCCCGGCUCCGGGUUGGGGGGGCCGCGUUGGGCCCCCGCCUCUCCGGCUGCACAGCCCGUCCGGCCCCGGGGCUUCGCUCUGGAGGCCAAAAGUUCAACAUCAGGAUGUCAGUCAGCAGGGCUGUGCUCCUCUUAAGGUUCAAGAGGAGAAUCCUUCCUUGCCCCUUCCAUCUUCUGCAUUUCCCAUCAGUGAAGUGAGACUGAAAAGAAUGAGUACAUUUUCUCCAAGUUGCAAAAAGCGUCACACAUGGAAAAUCUCCAGGUAGUCACAUACAAUGUCAGAAUUAAACUAGCUUGGGUUCGGUUUCUUUGCCAUCACUCUGCCAUCAUCGCUUAUUUUGAGUCUCCGCUUUCAGUGCAAGGAUAUGCAACACAACAGGGGUUGGAGACACAGACUGCACCAGAGUUGCAGGACUGAGAAGAUCCAAAUUGAACUUCCUCUGAAAACAAAUACAUGUUGCAGAGUCCACAUAGGCCCCAGCCAACUGUAUUCCUGCAAACUCCCCAAAUAAACGUGUACUUUGAACUCAAAGUUUAUUAAAAGGUA